GACGAACGCCGGCGGCGUGCUUAACACAUGCAAGUCGAGCGAUGAAAUUCCUUCGGGAAUGGAUUAGCGGCGGACGGGUGAGUAACACGUGGGUAACCUGCCUCAUAGAGGGGAAUAGCCUUCCGAAAGGAAGAUUAAUACCGCAUAAGAUUGUAGUUUCGCAUGAAACAGCAAUUAAAGGAGUAAUCCGCUAUGAGAGGGACCCGCGUCGCAUUAGCUAGUUGGUGAGGUAACGGCUCACCAAGGCGACGAUGCGUAGCCGACCUGAGAGGGUGAUCGGCCACAUUGGGACUGAGACACGGCCCAGACUCCUACGGGAGGCAGCAGUGGGGAAUAUUGCACAAUGGGGGAAACCCUGAUGCAGCAACGCCGCGUGAGUGAUGACGGUCUUCGGAUUGUAAAACUCUGUCUUCAGGGACGAUAAUGACGGUACCUGAGGAGGAAGCCACGGCUAACUACGUGCCAGCAGCCGCCGUAA
rnacentral:rRNA from 1 species